GAGAGAGAGAGAGAUUAGGGUUAGGGUUAGGGUUUGAGGGGGAUGGAUCGAGGGGAGGGGAUGAUUAUAAAGGAGAAGAGGGGGGAGGGGGGGGGGGAAUAAGAAUAUUCGGGGUAGGAGUGGGAAUAAGCGAAGAGGGUAGGGGCGGAAUAAGAAGAGGGGGGGGUUUAUGCCUCGGGAUAUUCCGUGGGGCCCACCGCCGUCGCCGUUAGGCCGUUGGGGGGAGGGAGACGUUUGUCACGUUUCGAACUGGAAUCGGAGGAGACGGUCGGAAUAUUCCGUUAGAUUCGACGUUAACGUCUAUUUCUUGUGGCGAAUUGUACGCAUAGUCCCUGUACUAUUGGCUAUUUCGAAAUCGACUCCUCACCCACAUGGCCACAUUGCUCCAAACAAAACGUGGAAAAUUAGUCCCCAC
rnacentral:lncRNA from 1 species